GACGAACGCUGGCGGCGUGCCUAAUACAUGCAAGUCGAACGCAGUGGGGACGGGUGAGUAACACGUGGGUAACCUCCCAUCAGAGGGGAUAACACUUGGAAACUGGUGCUAACCCGAUAUUGAUGUAUGGACCAGCGGUGCAUUAGCUAGUCUGUGAGGUAACGGCUCACCAAGGCGAAGAGGCAUAGCGGGCCUGAGAGGAUGAGCGGCCACACUGGGACGUAGACACGGCCCAGACUCCUACGGGAGGCAGCAGUAGGGAAUAUUCGGCAAUGGACGAAAGUCUGAUCUAGCAACGCCGCGUGAGUGAAGAAGGUUUUCGGGUCGUAAAACUCUGUUGUUAGAGAAGCGGUAUCUAACCAGAAAGCCACGGCUAACUACGUGCCAGCAGCCGCGGUAAUAC
rnacentral:rRNA from 1 species